AAGGAUGGUCCUGGCAUGGAGGGGGUGGUCCUGGCAUGGGCCCUGUUGGUGUGAAGAAGCACUUAGCACCAUACCUACCUUCACAGCCUGUGGUAACUACCUCCUUCACCGCGAACAACUUCAUCCGUAUCUUCAGACUUGUUUUUAGCUUCUAACUAAGGAUGACGUGACACUGAUCGGAGAAAUGCUUCCUUAAUUUUUAUUGGACUUAAGAUAUGCAUGAAGAAACUAUUUUCAUUCUUUAUUGCAUCCAGCAUCAUCCAGCUGGUAAUUGGAAGAUGCUGCUUGAAAUUGGAGCAAAUCAUUUCUUCUUUUUGUGAAGUCAUAUUGUUUGAUCUGUUUUAAGUAGUCAUCACUCGCGUUGUAUGUUUUUUUAUGGAAUUAUUACUGUCAAAUGUCUUCGUCAUCAUGUUUUCAUUGUUCAGUUUUUAAUUUCUUUGUCAUUGUUCUGUAUCUAUCCACAGGUGGUAUACCAGCCCCCGAACAAUCUCAGCCACUUGGCACCAUUUCAGCUGCGCCUUGGGGCUCUGCACUAAUCUUGCCAGUAUCAUACACUUACAUAGCAAUGAUGGGUUCUAAGGGCCUAACUGAUGCUUCAAAGAUUGC
rnacentral:lncRNA from 1 species